UGGGGAAUAUUGGACAAUGGGCGCAAGCCUGAUCCAGCCAUACCGCGUGGGUGAAGAAGGCCUUCGGGUUGUAAAGCCCUUUUGUUGGGAAAGAAAUCCAGCUGGCUAAUACCCGGUUGGGAUGACGGUACCCAAAGAAUAAGCACCGGCUAACUUCGUGCCAGCAGCCGCGGUAAUACGAAGGGUGCAAGCGUUACUCGGAAUUACUGGGCGUAAAGCGUGCGUAGGUGGUCGUUUAAGUCCGUUGUGAAAGCCCUGGGCUCAACCUGGGAACUGCAGUGGAUACUGGACGACUAGAGUGUGGUAGAGGGUAGCGGAAUUCCUGGUGUAGCAGUGAAAUGCGUAGAGAUCAGGAGGAACAUCCAUGGCGAAGGCAGCUACCUGGACCAACACUGACACUGAGG
rnacentral:rRNA from 1 species